GAGGGACUUGGAGUGUGGCCAUCUUUUUGGUUUGGGAUGGCAGAAAAGAGUCCUUCUUGCUGAGUGUCAGCUAAAGAAGGUUGUCGGCUGGUUGUUCCUCAACUUCUCUGAGCUAGCAGUUUUUCACCCCAGCAUCUGACUUCCAAGUCUUUGUUGACAGACUGCCAGAUCCUGACAGUGACCCAAAGUCUCCAAAGAAGAUUAUGAGGCACCGUAGUUUCUGCACCUGGACCAGUGAGCGAGAUGCUCAGAUGUGAUACCUGCUGUCUGCCGGGACCUGGCUGAGACUGGACAAAGCUGCUGGACACUGGAAAAUUAAUUGUACCCCUUUGCCUAGACAAAACAAGGCCGUUCUAAGUAGACUGUGAGCCCUGGACUUGCUGUGGAUGUGAACCAGUCCAGCUGAUAUGGACACCCCCUGUCUCUGCAACAGAAUCUGCCAACCAGAAGCUCCUGAUGGAUUCCCCAUUGCCUAAAUUCCCUUUUUUUUGCUUUUGACUAGCAUUUCAGCCUUCUUAGGUCCCUAACUUCGUCCCAAAGUCAGCAGGAAGUUGCAUGGGAAAGAAUACGCCGCCCAUUUCCCCUGGUUAAAAUGCUAAGUCAGAAGGGACUCCUUACAUGGGGGACGCCAAUAUCUCUCACUCCCUGAUGGGGACACUGGAGAGACAGCAAUUCCAUGAAAAUGGGGGAAUGAAGGGACCAGCUCCCCAUUUCAGCAGCCAUAACAGCUGAACACGUGCUUGUCUGACCUUGUCUUAGUCACUAGGAGGUUAGGUGCCUGCCUCAUGGCAAGGAACCAAUCAGAAGUUAGCUGGUGGUGCUAUGCUUUACAGACAAGUGCACAGCAAUGACAUGCAGAGCAUAGCAACCACCCUGGGAGGGCCUAUGGGCCCUAACAACCAGUUGACCAAUCAACACAGGGCAAACCCUCCAAGCCUGGAGCCACAUCAAUCCUGAGCCUGUGCGUACCCCUAGACACUCCCCUUACGCCACCCUAUAAGAUCUCUAUGCAGACGUUUUGAGCUGUCUUUCCUAGUCAUCCGCCAU
rnacentral:lncRNA from 1 species